rnacentral:rRNA from 1 species
GACUANUAUGANCGGCCCCACGAGGGCUACACUGUCUCCUUUUUCUAAUCAAUGAAACUAAUCUUCCCGUGAAGAAGCGGGGAUGAACCUAUAAGACGAGAAGACCCUAUGGAGCUUUAAAUAUUUAUAAAUAUCUGCCCUAUCUAAUUUCCAGUUUCAUUCAUCCGGGCACUUUAUUUAAAGUUUUAGGUUGGGGUGACCGCGGAGUAAAAACUAACCUCCACAUUGAACAAGAUUCUUAUCUUUUAGCAAAAACAACAACUUUAUGCACCAAAAAAUUGACUUUGAUUGACCCAAUAUAUUGACCAACGAACCAAGUUACCCUAGGGAUAACAGCGCAAUCUAUUUCAAGAGCUCAUAUCGACAAAUAGGUUUACGACCUCGAUGUUGGAUCAGGGUGUCCCAGUGGCGCAGCCGCUACUAACGGUUCGUUUGUUCNACGAUUGAAACCCUACGUGAUCUGAGUUCAGACCG